AUGCUCCCCUCGGCAGCACAUACACUAAAAUUGGAACGAUACAGAGAAGAUUAGCACGGCCCCUGCACAAGGAUGAUGCUCAAAUUCGAGAAGCGCUCCGUGGUACG
rnacentral:snRNA from 1 species